rnacentral:rRNA from 1 species
UACGUAGGGUGCGAGCGUUAAUCGGAAUUACUGGGCGUAAAGCGUGCGCAGGCGGUUUUGUAAGCCAGAUGUGAAAUCCCCGGGCUUAACCUGGGAAUGGCAUUUGGGACUGCAAGGCUUGAGUGCGGCAGAGGAGACUGGAAUUCCCGGUGUAGCAGUGAAAUGCGUAGAUAUCAGGAGGAACACCGAUGGCGAAGGCAGGUCUCUGGGCCACUACUGACGCUGAGAAGCGAAAGCAUGGGGAGCGAACAGG